CAGUAUGUCUGUGUGUAUGCCAGUAUGUCUGUGUGUGUGUGUGUGUAUGUAGGUAUGUCUCUGUGUUUGUGUGUACUUGUGUGUCAGUAUGUCUGCCAGGAUAUAUUUGUGUGUCAGUGUAUGUGUGUGUCAGUAUGUAUCUGUGAAUGUUUUAAUGUCUGUCUGUGUGUAUGUGCCAGUACGUCUGUCUGUGUGUAUGUCAGUAUGUCUGUGUGUGUAUGUAAGUAUGUCUGUGUAUGUGUGUGUCAGUCAGUAUGUCUGUCAGUGUAUGUGUCUGUGUGUAUGUAUGUAUGUAUGUCUGUGUGUGUGUGUGUGUGUGUGUGUGUCAGUAUGUCUGCCAGGAUUUAUUUGUAUGUCAGCGUA